GAUGAAGAACGCAGCGAAAUGCGAUACUUGGUGUGAAUUGCAGAAUCCCGUGAACCAUCGAGUCUUUGAACGCAAGUUGCGCCCGAAGCCACUAGGCCGAGGGCACGCCUGCCUGGGCGUCACACGUCGUUGCCCCCCCCCCAUCUACUCCUUCGGGAUUGCGGGGGGCGGAUGAUGGCCUCCCGUGCGCCUAGCCGCGCGGUUGGCAUAAAUACCAAGUCCUCGGCGCCGCACGCCACGACAAUCGGUGGUUGCGAAACCUCGGUUGCCCGUCGUGUGCGUUCGUCGCGCAUCGAGGGCUCGAAAAAAUGCUCGGCUCCGGCUCGGCUUUCAACGCGACCCCAGGUCAGGCGGGGUUACCCGCUGAAUUUAAGCAUAUCAAUAAGCGGAGGA
rnacentral:misc_RNA from 1 species